rnacentral:rRNA from 1 species
UACGGAAGGUGCAAGCGUUAAUCGGAACUACUGGGCGUAAAGCGCGCGUAGGCGGCUUCGUAAGUCGGGUGUGAAAGCCCCGGGGCUCAACCUGGGAGCGGCACUCGAUACUGCGGAGCUCGAGUACGAGAGAGGGGGUGGAAUUCCAGGUGUAGCGGUGGAAAUGCGUAGAGAUCUGGAGGAACACCGGUGGCGAAGGCGGCCCCCUGGUUCGAUACUGACGCUGAGGUGCGAAAGCGUGGGGAGCAAACAGG